rnacentral:rRNA from 1 species
CAGCAGCCGCGGUAAUACGUAGGGGGCGAGCGUUACCCGGAUUCACUGGGCGUAAAGGGGGUGUAGGCGGCUCGGUAAGUCGGGUGUGAAAUCCCACGGCUCAACCGUGGAAUUGCGCCCGAAACUGCCGAGCUUGGGGCCGGUAGAGGGAGACGGAACUGCCGGUGUAGGGGUGAAAUCCGUAGAUAUCGGCAGGAACGCCGGUGGGGAAGCCGGCCUCCUGGGCCGCGCCCGACGCUGAGGCCCGAAAGCUAGGGGAGCAAACCGGAUUAGAUACCCGGGUAGUCCUAGCCGUAAACGAUGCCCACUAGGUGUGGGGGAGUAUUUCCUCCGUGCUGUAGCUAACGCGUUAAGUGGGCCGCCUGGGGAGUACGCCCGCAAGGGUGAAACUUAAAGGAAUUGGCGGG